rnacentral:rRNA from 1 species
AUUGAACGCUGGCGGCAGGCCUAACACAUGCAAGUCGAACGAGUGGCGGACGGGUGAGUAAUGUAUGGGGAUCUACCUUAUGGAGGGGUAUAACUACGGGAAACUGUGGCUAAUACCGCAUACUCUAGGGUGAACCCAUAGGGGAUUAGGUAGUAGGUGGGUUAAAGGCUCACCAAGUCGACGAUCUCUAGCUGUUCUGAGAGGAUGACCAGCCACACUGGAACUGAGACACGGCCCAGACUCCGACGGGAGGAAGCAGUGGGGAAUAGUGCGCAAUGGGGGCAAGUCUGAUGCAGCCAUGCCGCGUGAAUGAAGAAGGCCUUCGGGUUGUAAAGUACUUUCAGUGGGGAGGCGUUAACCGCAGAAGAAGCACCGGCUAACGCCGUGCCAGCAGCCGCGGUAAUAC